rnacentral:rRNA from 1 species
GACGAACGCUGGCGGCGUGCUUAACACAUGCAAGUCGAACGGAAAGGCCCUGCUUUUGUGGGGUGCUCGAGUGGCGAACGGGUGAGUAACACGUGAGUAACCUGCCCUUGACUUUGGGAUAACUUCAGGAAACUGGGGCUAAUACCGGAUAGGAGCUCCUGCUGCAUGGUGGGGGUUGGAAAGUUUCGGCGGUUGGGGAUGGACUCGCGGCUUAUCAGCUUGUUGGUGGGGUAGUGGCUUACCAAGGCUUUGACGGGUAGCCGGCCUGAGAGGGUGACCGGCAACAUUGGGACUGAGAUACGGCCCAGACUCCUACGGGAGGCAGCAGUGGGGAAUAUUGCACAAUGGGCGGAAGCCUGAUGCAGCAACGCCGCGUGCGGGAUAACGGCCUUCGGGUUGUAAACCGCUUUCGCCUGUGACGAAGCGUGAGUGACGGUAAUGGGUAAAGAAGCACCGGCUAACUACGUG